rnacentral:rRNA from 1 species
CUUAGUGGCGAAUGGGUGAGUAACACGUGCUUAAUCUACCUUUGAAAUUGAAAUAACAUUUGGAAACAAAUGCUAAUGUCAAAUAUUUAAUUUAAUCGCAUGAUUUUAUUAUGAAAGAAGCCUCAAAGCUUCGCUUAAAAAUGAGAGUGCGCAACAUUAGUUAGUUGGUAGGGUAAAGGCCUACCAAGACGAUGAUGUUUAGCAGGGCUGAGAAGCUGAACUGCCACACUGGGACUGAGAUACGGCCCAGACUCCUACGGGAGGCAGCAGUAAGGAAUAUUCCACAAUGAGCGAAAGCUUGAUGGAGCGACACAGCGUGCAGGAUGAAGGUCUUUGGAUUGUAAACUGCUGUUAUAAGGAAAGAAUUGCUAAAAGAGGAAAUGCUUUUAGAGUGACGGUACCUUAUUAGAAAGCGAUGGCUAACUAUGUGCCAGCAGCCGCGGUAAUACAUAGGUCGCAAGCGUUAUCCGGAAUUAUUGGGUGUAAAGCGUUCGUAGGUGGUCUGUUAAGUUUAAAGUUAAAUGUCAGAGCUCAACUUUGACCCGCUUUAGAUACUGGCAGACUAGAGUUAUAGAGAGGUUAACAGAAUUUCAUGUGAAGCGGUGAAAUGCGUAGAUAUAUGAAAGAAUACCAAUAGCGAAGGCAGUUAACUGGAUAUAUACUGACACUCAAGAACUAAAGCGUGGGGAGCAAACAGGAUUAGAUACCCUGGUAGUCCACGCCCUAAACGAUGAUCAUUAGUUGGUAGAGAUUUUACUAACGCAGCUAACGCAUUAAAUGAUCCACCUGAGUAGUAUGCUCGCAAGAGUGAAACUUAAAGGAAUUGACGGGGACCCGCACAAGCGGUGGAGCAUGUGGUUUAAUUUGAGAUACGCGGAGAACCUUACCCAC